rnacentral:rRNA from 1 species
GACGAACGCUGGCGGCGUGCUUAACACAUGCAAGUCGAACGGUGAAGCGCCUUCCUUUUUGGUGGGUGGGGAUGGGUGGCGAACGGGUUAGUAACACGUGAGUCACCUGCCCCCUUCUGCUGAAUAACCGCAUGAAAGUGUGGCUAAUACGGGAUAUUCUGGGUCGGUCGCAUGAUUGGUCUAGGACGGAUUUUGUUUCGGUGGGGGAUGGGCUCGCGGCCUAUCAGCUUGUUGGUGAGGUGAUGGCCUACCAAGGCGAUGAGGGGUAGCCGGCCUGAGAGGGUGGACCGCACUACAGGGACUGCGCGAUGCAGAAUCCUACUAGGGGAGGCAGUAGUGAAGAUUCUGGCAUGAUGGGAGGAAGGACGAUGCAGCGCCGCGGCGGUGGUGAUGGUGUUCGGAGCGUUGUGAACUUCUUUCGGGAGUGAAGAAGUCUGGAAGUGUCUGUGCGCGGCUUGACGGUAGCUGGACAGGAAGCGACGGCUAACUACGUG